rnacentral:tRNA from 1 species
GGCUCGUUCGUCUAGCGGCAGGAUGCGAGGCCCUCAUUCUCGCGGCGCGGGUUCGAUUCCCGCACGAGUCA